rnacentral:rRNA from 1 species
UACGUAGGGGGCAAGCGUUGUCCGGAAUCAUUGGGCGUAAAGGGCGCGUAGGCGGGCUAGCAAGUCAGGGGUGAAAUCCCACGGCUCAACCGUGGAAGUGCCUUUGAUACUGCGAGUCUUGAGGGAGGUAGGGGCGUGCGGAACUUCCGGUGGAGCGGUGAAAUGCGUAGAUAUCGGAAGGAACACCGGUGGCGAAAGCGGCGCGCUGGACCUCUACUGACGCUGAGGCGCGAAAGCUAGGGGAGCAAACGGG